UCCACACCUCCACCUGCAUCGAGCAGCUCACCUCCACCUACAUCCACACCUCGACCUGGUUCCACCUCCAUCACUCUUCCUCUGUCACUUUCUGCUCCUCCUCUUUCUGUGCUGUUGCCUGUUGGAUCGGUCUAUGUUUUGGUUCUACUGGUGUUACUGGUUCUGCGGGAGAGACGAUGUGUUUACAGGAAACUUGAAGCAGAUGGAGAAGAUGACAUCACCAGUAGCAUCACAUACAUUGUUGUGAAAUCAUCAACCUCCAAUCCAACAAAUCAGAGAUGGAGAGACUGAUUCAGCUGUGAUCUACUCAGCAGUGAGAAGUGAAGAUGUCAGUUAUGGACAAACAACCAUCAGAACAAGGAGGCCCAGUUUCCCCGGACCUUUGUAAUCUGCCGUUUGGGAUGUAACUGAGUUGCUGUGUGGAACCGUGAGGUGGAGCACGAGCACGAGAGAACCAUUCCCUUUCUCCGACCUCCCUUUUGGACCCUUGGAACCCCGGAUUUCCCCCACAUGUAUAUAUAUCACACCUGGUGUUUGUGUAAAUAAAGACCUGCAUUGAACUGUG